rnacentral:rRNA from 1 species
GUGGGGAAUAUUGGACAAUGGGCGAAAGCCUGAUCCAGCCAUGCCGCGUGUGUGAAGAAGGUCUUCGGAUUGUAAAGCACUUUAAGUUGGGAGGAAGGGCAGUAAGUUAAUACCUUGCUGUUUUGACGUUACCGACAGAAUAAGCACCGGCUAACUUCGUGCCAGCAGCCGCGGUAAUACGAAGGGUGCAAGCGUUAAUCGGAAUUACUGGGCGUAAAGCGCGCGUAGGUGGUUUUGUAAGUUGGAGGUGAAAUCCCCGGGCUCAACCUGGGAACUGCCUCCAAAACUGCAUGACUAGAGUACGGUAGAGGGUAGUGGAAUUUCCUGUGUAGCGGUGAAAUGCGUAGAUAUAGGAAGGAACACCAGUGGCGAAGGCGACUACCUGGACUGAUACUGACACUGAGGUGCGAAAGCAUGGGGAGCAAACAGGAUUAGAAACCCCGGUAGUCC